rnacentral:rRNA from 1 species
ACGGGAGGCAGCAGUGGGGAAUAUUGGGCAAUGGGCGAAAGCCUGACCCAGCAACGCCGCGUGAAGGAAGAAGGUCUUCGGAUUGUAAACUUCUUUUAUGUGGGACGAACAAAUGACGGUACCACAUGAAUAAGCCACGGCUAACUACGUGCCAGCAGCCGCGGUAAUACGUAGGUGGCAAGCGUUAUCCGGAUUUACUGGGUGUAAAGGGCGCGUAGGCGGGGAAGCAAGUCAGAUGUGAAAUCCAUGGGCUCAACCCAUGAACUGCAUUUGAAACUGUUUCUCUUGAGUGCUGGAGAGGUAGAUGGAAUUCCUAGUGUAGCGGUGAAAUGCGUAGAUAUUAGGAAGAACACCAGUGGCGAAGGCGAUCUACUGGACAGUAACUGACGCUGAGGCGCGAAAGCGUGGGGAGCAAACAGGAUUAGAUACCCUGGUA